GCUUUAAAAAACAAAAGUGUCCCACACAGGCUAGGCUUUGCUGGGCCCCGUUAUGGGGAAGCCCCAGUGAGGAGCGCGUCAGAGGAAGGAUCACAGUCACCAGGAACACCUGUCCGGAGCGAGCCGCGGAGCUCCGCUCCCCACCCCCUGCACGGAGCUGCGCGCGCCCCGCGCUGGGGAGGAGGCGGCUGACGCCAGGCCCCUGCAGGGGGCUGCACCCCGCUCUUCCGCGGGCUCCCAGGGGGAUGCUCGGCGCUGGGUCUACCCGCCGGGCGAGCCAGAGGCAGUUCGGCACUUCCCAGGUCAAUGAAGCUGGGUUUGCCUUUGGUCCACAGUUAAAAGGACACACAACAGCAGUGGAGCACUGAAUGGAUGCAGCAGAACAAAUGUAAAGGACGGAAGUUAUUGCAAUUAUAUAAAAAAUGGAGAAAGAGGGGAGAUGCAAACGCCCUUCUGCGAAAUAACCCUCUAACUUUUAUGCAUACUCAGUGCACAUUUCCUAUACUUAAAGUAUAUGAAAAGUGUAUGAAUAUAAAACUAGUGUGGUUUCUUUUUUUUUUUUUUUUUUUAAAGAAACAGGUGACAAGAGAAGAGCGAGGAGGAGACAGAGAAAGCAGGGGACAGAAGGAGAAAUAGUGAGUUGUUACUAAGAAUCCUGAUUUUUUUUUUAAAAGUUACAUCCAUGUUAGUCCCACAAUAUUACAGCUGCUCCUUGCAAAGGGAGUCCUAAAAAGAAACAAUGAAGAAACUUGGUCUGAAGCUCAUAUG